AACAUAAUAUAUAAUUCAGAAACUGAUGUCAAAUGUCAAAUGUCAAUAGUGUAUGCAUGUAUAUCCAAGAUGAUGACCUCGAUUAAAAAUACGAAUUAUUCAGAUGGGAAACAAACAAAAAAAUGAAAAGCAAUGCAUUUAUGUCGUAUUGGAUAUCAAGAGCAUUGGACGUACUGAAAAGGUCAAAGUUUUUGUUAACUAUAUGAACAAGGGGACCAAUGAUUUUUUUUUUAUUUUGAAGAUGCGUCACUCUGCUUUAAUUCACAAACACAGAAAAUAAUACUUUUUAAGAAUAACAUACAUGCACGCUUUCUCAAAAAUAUAA
rnacentral:lncRNA from 1 species